rnacentral:rRNA from 1 species
UACGUAGGGGGCAAGCGUUGUCCGGAUUUAUUGGGCGUAAAGAGCUCGUAGGCGGUCUGUCGCGUCGGCUGUGAAACCCCGAGGCUCAACCUCGGGCCUGCAGUCGAUACGGGCAGACUAGAGUAUGGCAGGGGAGACUGGAAUUCCUGGUGUAGCGGUGAAAUGCGCAGAUAUCAGGAGGAACACCGGUGGCGAAGGCGGGUCUCUGGGCCAUAACUGACGCUGAGGAGCGAAAGCGUGGGGAGCGAACAGG